rnacentral:sRNA from 1 species
AUUUUAAAAAUACCUACGUAAAAUUAUAUUAUAAAUAUUAAAAUUAAAAAAAAAAAAUAUAAAAAAAAAACAAUUUCGUUUAUUUUAAAAAAAACCAUUUACGGUUUAGGGGAAAACCAAAAACGGUACCAAAAAUGCCCAAAAAAUUGUUAAUAACCGUGGUAAUUAAUCCAACGCAAAAACCGCCCCCUAAUUUAAAAAUAAUCGCCCUUAAAACAAAUAUUACACCGAAUAAUUGGACGAUCGAAAUAAUAAUUAAACCCGAAAAACACCGACGCAAUAAACGAAAUAAAAAACCUAAAAUGCAAUUUAAUAUAUUAUUAUUGGAUAAAAAAAACCACGUUUACGACCUGGUUAUUAAAUAUAAAAUAAAAAACAAAAUUACGGUAUUAGGGGUUCCAUUUAAAUAAUUAAACGCCGCCGAAAUCGAAAUGUUAUUAAAUGCGGGAAUUUUGCAACCGGUAUUAAAAAAUAACGCAUAUAACCGGAUUUUCGGCGCUAAAAUAAUACGAAAAAUUAAAAAUACGCCGGAACGGUUAUACGAAAAAUCGAAAUUAAUGGUUUAAAAUUAUAAUAAUUAGGAAAAAAAAACCUUUUUAACGUAAACGUUAACGAUUAUAAAAUGUAACCAACGUUUAAUUUUUUUAAUCGCACCAAAUUUAAUAAAACGUUACGGGUAUAAAUUUAUAAUUCGGAAUAUAAAUUAGGCGUAUAUUUAAUUAAAAAACCAAUUAAUAAAGAACGUUUUGGUGCGGAUAUUAAAAAAAUUAUAAUAUAAAUACCCACGAAAUACGUAUUUAAAAGUUUAUAAAUUAUUAUACGACCUAACCGAAUUAAAUUUGCAUUAAUUUAAUACGUAUUAACGUUAUUAUAAAAAACGGUUAAAUUGCAAAAUUUCGAUUUACGAUAUUUGUUUGUUAAUAAUAAAAAAUAACCCGUUUGGAUUUGUCGGAUUCCAAACGAAUAAUAUAUUAAAUUUAAACGAUCCAAAUUUUAUUGCAACGGAGGAAAUAAAAUUCCAACGAACAAAAUUUUUUGCAAAACCCCAAAAAAUUUUGCAAAAAAAUAAUAUAAAGGAUUUUAACGGUUGCAAAAUAACGUUAAAAAACGGUAUUAUUAUAAUAUAAUAAAAAGGACAAAUAAAUUGUUUGGAACAAAUAAAAAUCGGGGUAAUUAAUCGCCAAUAAUAAUACGUAAUUUAACGUAUUAAAAAUGUAUAUAUUAUAAUAAUUUACCAAUUAAAAACAAUUUUUAAUUUAUCCGUGGCCGUACAAAUUAAAAAACCAACGGAUAUAAAAAUUAAAACGUUUAAUAAACGUAUAUAAUAGCAAUUCGAUAAUAAAUUACGGGGUUUAAUAUAUAUACCGUUAAAUAUAAAAAAAACCAAAUUAUACGUAUUUGUUAACGGGUUAUUAAUUAACCUAACAAAUAUAAAUUCCCAAAUCGGUUAUUUAAUU